CUCCUGUGUGACUUUUUGGUUCUCUUGGUAAUGAAAAGAUCUUGAGGAUUUCUUUCCUCUGGGCUCUCCAGAAAUACCCAACUUUUCACAAACAAAAAAAAUCAAUUUUUCAAUUUUUCCACCUUGACAGGGUUAACCCCGGAAAAACAAGUUUCAAUCUCCCUUGGGGAUUCAAAUGCUUUUGGAAAAGAAAAAAAUAAUUUGUGUCUAAUUAUCCGUGUGUUCGUGAUCUUAUUGAAUUUUGGUUCUUAACUAUAGAUGAUCGUGGUGUAUAAGUUUUAAUGUUCUCGAAUUCAAGAACAAAAUGGUCUGCUGCAGGCUUUGAUGUCGGAUUCAAGAACAAAGAAAAGUAGAGAGAGUGGGUGAUAAAAAUGAAUUAAUGAAGACAAAUGAUUUGGAAAAAAAAACUGGAAAAGGUGUUUCGACAUAGUAAGGUUAUGAUCAAAGCCAGAUGAGUAAUAAGAAGGUGAACAAGUUCAAGAAUGGAAUCCUUCAUAUACGAUCCUACACGAUCGGAUAGUUAACCCGAGCGACGCUUGGUCGAUGGUAAAGAAAAAAAAGAAGACAAAGAGAUUAAGAGAUCGGAGAUAAAGAAGGACAUUAUCCCAAAAGCGUUCAAAUAAGGAUGGGAACCAACAAAUUCUUCGUAUUUAGGUACUCAUUUUACGUUGCUUGUUUUUUAAUUCAGCCCUUCGUUCACCUGUUUUCAUUACUAUUAAGUUUUGUAAAUGCAUUCAUCAUUGUCAACUUAAAAGGAAUCAUUUUCCUCAACUCAAGUUCACAUCCUCAUAUUCUCAACUUCGAACUUAACUAUUGCGGUAUUAAGGACCCCUGGAUGGAAGAAAUUAAGGUUUCUUUCUCCAAAAUAUGUGAUGUAAUAUAAUUGGUAGUAUCACGGUAUAGAAUAGAGUGUUUUUUCCUUGGAUGAUGGAGCUCAUGUAUUUGAAUGGUUGUCCAAUUAUCUAGGCAAACCAUAUCGUUUAGUUCAUUUAAAUUUUAGCAUUCCGAUUAUAUAUAUCAAUGAGUACUUACAAUGUCCUGAA